AUGAACGCUGGCGGCGUGCCUAAUACAUGCAAGUCGAGCGAACGGACGAGAAGCUUGCUUCUCUGAUGUUAGCGGCGGACGGGUGAGUAACACGUGGAUAACCUACCUAUAAGACUGUGAUAACUUCGGGAAACCGGAGCUAAUACCGGAUGAUAUUUUGAACCGCAUGGUUCAAAAGUGAAAGACGGUCUUGCUGUCACUUAUAGAUGGAUCCGCGCUGCAUUAGCUAGUUGGUAAGGUAACGGCUUACCAAGGCAACGAUGCAUAGCCGACCUGAGAGGGUGAUCGGCCACACUGGAACUGAGACACGGUCCAGACUCCUACGGGAGGCAGCAGUAGGGAAUCUUCCGCAAUGGGCGAAAGCCUGACGGAGCAACGCCGCGUGAGUGAUGAAGGUCUUCGGAUCGUAAAACUCUGUUAUUAGGGAAGAACAUAUGUGUAAGUAACUGUGCACAUCUUGACGGUACCUAAUCAGAAAGCCACGGCUAACUACGUG
rnacentral:rRNA from 1 species